rnacentral:rRNA from 1 species
CCCUUAGAUGUUCUGGGCUGCACGCGCGCUACACUGAUGCGUUCAACGAGUGUAUCACCUUGCCCGAUAGGGUUGGGUAAUCUUUUGAACACGCAUCGUGAUGGGGAUAGAUUAUUGCAAUUAUUAAUCUUCAACGAGGAAUUCCUAGUAAACGCAAGUCAUCAACUUGCAUUGAUUACGUCCCUGCCCUUUGUACACACCGCCCGUCGCACCUACCGAUUGAAUGGUCCGGUGAAGCCUCCGGAUUGGCGCGCACCUCGGUGCCGCCGAGAAGUUGGCUAAACCUUACCAUUUAGAGGAAGGUGAAGUCGUAACA